rnacentral:misc_RNA from 1 species
GAUAGCCUGUGGAAUCAAAGUACUUUUUUAGAGUUAUUUUCUAUCCAAAGUAGGGAUAAAAUUAGUGUAUAAGAUAAGUGAAGAGUUUAAUCAGAGAAAAUUGCAAAAUAAUUUAAAAGUUUCACAAUUGAAACAUGUCCUAAGGUUUGGAAACCUUAAAAGAGUUAACACGAAAAGCUUUCUAAUGGAAUCAAAAGAAUUAUAUUUUCAACAAGUUGCUGGUAUUUUAGCACUAUUCCAAAUU